UACCUGGUUGAUCCUGCCAGUAGUCAUAUGCUUGUCUCAAAGACUAAGCCAUGCAAGUGCAAGCGCAUAUC
rnacentral:ncRNA from 1 species